GACAGAGGUGCCGAGCGUUAGGCGGAAUCACUGGGCUUAAAGCGUGUGUAGGCGGGUCGUUAAGUACCUUGUGAAAUCCCACGGCUUAACCGUGGAACUGCUGGGUAUACUGGCGAUCUUGAGCCACUUAGGGGUCAGCGGAGCAAAUGGUGGAGCGGUGAAAUGCGUAGAUAUCAUUUGGAACGCCAAUGGUGAAAACAGCUGACUGGGAGUGUGCUGACGCUGAGACACGAAAGCCAGGGGGGCGAACGGG
rnacentral:rRNA from 1 species